UUGAAAGGGAAACGAUUGAAGUCAGUCAUGCUGGUGGGAAUCAACUUAGGGGAAACUCUAGGUGCACUUCUUCGCUUGGCAGGUUAACGUCGAUCUUGAAUGCCAUAAAAUAAUUGGGGGAAGGUAGCUCCUUCGGGAGUGUUAUAGCCCUUGAUAGAUGUGAUGUUUGGGGUCGAGGAUUGCAACGGAUACCCUUUGGGGCUAGCCGCCUGAUCUCUAAUCGGUGUUGGGUUACGGAUAGCAUGCUGACCGUGAUCUAAUUACUGGUUAAAAGGUUAGAGCGUGCAUAAAUUCGUUAAGGAUGUUGACGUA
rnacentral:rRNA from 1 species